UACGUAGGGUGCGAGCGUUAAUCGGAAUUACUGGGCGUAAAGCGUGCGCAGGCGGUUUUGUAAGCCAGAUGUGAAAUCCCCGGGCUUAACCUGGGAAUGGCAUUUGGGACUGCAAGGCUUGAGUGCGGCAGAGGAGACUGGAAUUCCUGGUGUAGCAGUGAAAUGCGUAGAUAUCAGGAGGAACACCGAUGGCGAAGGCAGGUCUCUGGGACUGACACUGACGCUCAUGCACGAAAGCGUGGGGAGCAACAGG
rnacentral:rRNA from 1 species